AAAAAGGCAAACCCUGGGUUUCUGUGUCCAACUUUAACUGUCCGUCUUAUAUAAAUUUUUUUUAUAAUUCGUAUUUUCAUUGCUGUUAGAUGAUAAAACAUGAUUAAUAUUUUAUGCGUGACUUGUCUUUUUAAUUUUUUUUCAUAAUUUUUUUAAAUAAGACGAACGGUCAAAUGUUGGGCACGGAAAUCAGUGUUUGUCUUUUUU
rfam:Oryza glumipatula chromosome 7, whole genome shotgun sequence.